UACGGAGGGUGCAAGCGUUAUCCGGAUUCACUGGGUUUAAAGGGUGCGUAGGAGGGCAGGGAAGUCAGUGGUGAAAUCUCCGGGCUUAACUCGGAAACUGCCGUUGAUACUCUCUGUCUUGAAUCCCGUGGAGAUGAGCGGAAUAUGUCAUGUAGCGGUGAAAUGCUUAGAUAUGACAUAGAACACCGAUUGCGAAGGCAGCUCGUUACACGAAGAUUGACUCUGAGGCACGAAAGCGUGGGGAUCAAACAGG
rnacentral:rRNA from 1 species